rnacentral:rRNA from 1 species
UGAGGAAUCUUGCGCAAUGGGGGAAACCCUGACGCAGCAACGCCGCGUGAGUGAGGAAGGUCUUCGGAUCGUAAAGCUCUGUCGGGUGGAAAGAAAUGUAUGGGGUUAAUAGCCUUCAUACUUGACGGUACCACCAAAGGAAGCACCGGCUAACUCCGUGCCAGCAGCCGCGGUAAUACGGGGGGUGCAAGCGUUGUUCGGAAUUAUUGGGCGUAAAGAGCGUGUAGGCGGCUUGGCAAGUCAGAUGUGAAAGCCCUGGGCUUAACCCAGGAAGUGCAUUUGAAACUGCUUAGCUAGAGUAGGGGAGAGGGAAGUGGAAUUCCUGGUGUAGAGGUGAAAUUCGUAGAUAUCAGGAGGAACACCGGUGGCGAAGGCGACUUCCUGGCCCUAUACUGACGCUGAGACGCGAGAGCGUGGG